rnacentral:tRNA from 1 species
CAGGGAGACAAAAACUGGUCUUGAUGUCUGAGUAUUUAACUCUUAGUCCAAGGUCCUGUCACCUUAGGUCGAUCGGUACCUCAAAUUAAUAACUUAAGGUUUGAAUAUUCAAUACCAAAAAGUUAGUUGAUUUUAGUUCCUAAACUUUGUCUAGGUCACACCCCGCAAGGGUUACUCCUGGGCCAUUAGCUCAGGUGGUUAGAGCGCACCCCUGAUAAGGGUGAGGUCCCUGGUUCAAGCCCAGGAUGGCCCAUUCGGUGUUGGGGGUUUAGCUCAGUUGGUAGAGCGCCUGCUUUGCAAGCAGGAUGUCAGCGGUUCGAGUCCGCUAACCUCCACUGGCCGACCUUCUUCAACGCCAGAAAGUUGAGGAACAUUGUGUGUUGUGACUUGGAUUGUUUCCGCUGAUGGAACGAGCCUAGCUUCCUCUCAUUCCAAUCCUAAUUAUUCAUUAGGUCAGGCUGAAAGGAUGCUGGGCUCACUUUGAUUUUAUUAAAUCUCAGAGAUGUUCAGCAGAACCUUGAAAACUGCAUAGGUGAGUCUGGAAAAGAAUAAAGCAUCUCAUGGAUACGUUGUUCUUUUUCAAACGACUUAAUAGAGAGAUCUAUUGAUUCGUUUGAGUAAAUAAUUACGUUCAAAUUCUUGAGUUAGAGCCGAGAGCUUAUAGCGUCUUUUUUGCUUUUAAGCAUAAAGAGUUUGAUUGAAUUAUUCUUUUUUCUACCCUUUUAGCAUUCAAAGUGAAUUUUCACUUUGAAUGCUAAAAGAAUGGAUAUUAAAAGGAAUAAUCAAGAAUGCGUUUCAACAACGUUGAUCGCUAUAAGAAUUAUAU